rnacentral:misc_RNA from 1 species
GGAAGGAUCAUUGAAUCUGUCGGGACACACAGCAAGGAUACUGAGCUAGAGUAGGGGUUUCCCUCUCAAUACGCUCACUUAAUAUUCACUCCCAACAUCAGUCAAACUAUAUGAAGACGGUUAGCACCGCUGACCGUCAACAACCAAUACAACUCUCAACAACGGAUAUCUUGGCUCUCGCAACGAUGAAGAACGCAGCGAAAUGCGAUACGUAGUGUGAAUUGCAGAAUUCCGUGAACCAUCGAAUCUUUGAACGCAUAUUGCGCCCGAAGCUCCGGCUUAGGGCAUGCCUGCCUCAGCGUCUUGGUUACGCUCCGUAUGGGAGCAUCUUGGUGAUCAAACAUGAUUAUUCAAGCGAAUCUGGCAUUCCCAUGGCCUUGUUGCCUUGGGUAUGUUGAAACGAAGGGCAUGAGCAAGGAACACAUACGCGUCAACUGGACAGGUUCGCAUCUAAUGCGUGACACGAAGUUGGGGCGUGGGCUUUGUGAGUGCCGUGCAGGAAGCCAUUAGUAUGGCGACGCAAACAGUCGACCUGAGCUCAGGCAAGAUUACCCGCUGAACUUAAGCAUAUCAAUAAGCGGAGGAAAAGAAACUAACAAGGACUCCCUUAGUAACGGCGAGCGAACAGGGAAAAGCCCAACUGUAAAUCUCCCUCUGGAGAAUUGUAGUCUGUAGAAGCUUCCUCUGUGGCUUGCGGAGCCUAAGUCCCCUGGAAAGGGGCGUCAAAGAGGGUGACAACCCCGUCGGUUCCUGCCAAGUCGCUUCACGAGGUGCUUUCGAAGAGUCGGGUUGCUUGGGAAUGCAGCCCAAAGUGGGUGGUAAAUCCCAUCUAAGGCUAAAUACUGGCGAGAGACCGAUAGCGAACAAGUACCGUGAGGGAAAGAUGAAAAGAACUUUGAAAAGAGAGUUAAAAAGUGCUUGAAAUUGUUGAGAGGGAAGCGUUUGGAAGAUGCGGGUGCGCCUAGGCUUAUGCGUCUCUAACGAGCCGUUGUAUGUGCUAGGUGCUGGUCAACAUGGGUUGCAAUGGUGGGACAACCGCAAGGAUUGUUACCUUGUCUAUACCACCGUUGUGACCAAGGCGUGAAGGACGCCCUUGCCCCUCGGGAGCAGCGUCCUCAAGAUGUUGGCAGAAGUCUUCCAACCGGCCCGUCUUGAAACACGGACCAAGGAGUCUAACAUGUAUGCGAGUUGGUGGGUUGCAAACCCAUGAAGCGCAAGGAAACUAACUGGUGGGAUGGCCUGUGCCUGCACCAUCUACCGACCAUGAGCUUUUGCGAAAGGUUUGAGUGCGAGCAUACCUGUUGGGACCCGAAAGAUGGUGAACUAUGCCUGAGCAGGGCGAAGUCAGAGGAAACUCUGAUGGAGGCUCGUAGAUGUGCUGACGUGCAAAUCGCUUUUCGGACUUGGGUAUAGGGGCGAAAGACUAAUCGAACCAUCUAGUAGCUGGUUCCCUC